rnacentral:lncRNA from 1 species
AAAAAUCCGCCCCGCCUCCCGCCCCGAAUCCGUGACGGGUUAAAAAAUACAUCCCAUAAUCCGCCCCGCCUCAUAACCCGCCUCACGCCGGCGCCCCGAAUCUGCCCCGCCAACUAAUAUUUUUUAUAAAAUUAUAAUAUUAUUAAUAUUUUGUAAAAUAUAAAUUAAUAAUUUUUAAUAAUAUUAUAUAUAUAAUUUAACAAUAUUAAUGGUAAAAAUUAAAAAUAUCAAUCACAAUUCAAAACAAAAUUCAAAUAUUUCAAAUACAUUAGAAAUGAGAAUAAUAACUUAUUUGUAUUUUAAACUUUUUUUUAUAAAUAUAUUAUUUUUUGGGAAUAUUUUUUAAAAAUACAAAUGAUAUUCGGGGCGGAUUCGGGGCGGAUUCGGGGCGGAUCAUGGCGGGGCGGAUUCGGGGCGGAUUCGGGGCGGGUAAAAAUUUUUCUCGUUUCCUGCCCCGAAUCCGUCUCGGAUCGUAAAACUUACCCCGUUUCCUGCCCCGAAUCGGUUUAUUUUCUCCCAUUUACUGCUCCCGUCGG